GCUAAGGUGUUGCUAUGGUAUCUGGGGUGGUUGCUAAGGUGUUUCUAAGUGGUUGCUAGGUGGUUGCUAAGGUGUUGCUAUGGUAUCUGGGGUGGUUGCUAAGGUGUUUCUAGGUGGUUGCUAGGUGGUUGCUAAGGUGUUGCUAUGGUAUCCGGGGUGGUUGCUAAGAUGUUGCUAGGUGGUUGCUAAGGUGUUGCUAUGGUAUCUGGGGUGGUUGCUAAGGUGUUUCUAGGUGGUUGCUAGGUGGUUGCUAAGGUGUUGCUAUGGUAUCCGGGGUGGUUGCUAAGAUGUUGCUAGGUGGUUGCUAAGGUGUUGCUAUGCGGUUGCUAAGGUGUUGCUAUGGUAUCUGGGGUGGUUUCUACGGUGUUGCUAGGCAGUUGCUAACGUUUUCCAGGUGGUUGCUAAGGUGUUGCUAAGUGGUUGCUAGGCAGUUGCUAACGUUUUCCAGGUGGUUGCUAAGGUGGUUGCUAAGCAGUUAUUAGGUGGUUGCUAAGCCCUGGCUGGGGUGCCGGGGUGUCCAAACUUUUGACUGAUAGCUGCUCCAUACAGCAGCUCCUCCAUACACUCACAGUACUGGAGGAGCAGGGGAGAGAAGGGGUUCCGUGCGCAGAGCUGCUCGUGUGUGAGAUGGAACUCUGGGCCCCCCAUUCAUUUCAAUGGGAAAACUUCGUACGACAUUUGUACGAAAACCGUACGACGUAUCGUCGAAACGUUAAAAUUUUCGGAAAGAACGCGGUAAGGUCUAUAGACCGUCCGAUUUUUGUAUUUGUAUGUCAAAAAUUGUGGCGGUUACGGACGUUUAAAAUUUCGCCCCAUUCAUUCCUAUGGGAAAAAAAUGCGUACGUUUACGAAGUUUUUACGAAAACCGUACGAUGUAUCGCUUAAAAAAGCACAAGCAACCUAUUCGGGUAUAGGUUCUACGAUACUGCAAAGUUUCGUGGUUCUACGUCAAAAGCCCUAGGAGGAGAUAGUGAUUAAAUUUUGCGAAUAGAAUAAUAAUAAUAAGAAUAAGAUUACGAAGAACAAUAAGUUGGCUUUUCCAAGCCAACUU